GUCGCUCCGGUGCUGAGAUCGAAACCAUCCGAAAAUGUUCGUAUCCUCUUAUUCCCAGCUUCUUUUUAUCAUUCCUACAACGUCAUAUAUAAUAUUGCUUUAGUUUUCGAUCUUAGCCUUAUUAAUUUUCUAAUAACCUUUUUUUCGGUUGCUCAUAAUAUUUGUUGAUUUUUCAGUUUUAAUUUUAUUUCGAUAAUUUUUUUUAAUCUCGAUUCUUAUUUAAUGCUAUUCUGUCCUCUCUCCCUCUCUAUGUGUGUUUUGUGCGCGCGCGUUUUCAAUUUUUAUUUCUCUCUCCACGGCUAAUAACCUUUUCUUCUGUUGCUCAUAAUAUCUGUUGAUUUUUCAGUUUUAAUUUUUUUCUAUAAUUUUUUUUUAUCUCGAUUCUUAUUUAUGCUAUUCUGUCCUCUCUCUCCCUCUGUAUCUGUGUGUCUGUUUUGUGCGCGCACGUUUUCAGUUUUUAUUUCUCUCGACGGCUCCAAUUCUGCUAUCUAAAUACGUAUACGGGCAAUUCUGUCAGCUAGGGUUUUCAUUUUUUAAGUAUUAGAUUAUCACCUGUAUGUAUAUCUUUGAUUGAUUCUUCUACGUGCCUUUAUAUGCUACUCCAAGCAUUGUUUAAUUGAAAUUUUGUGGGUAAUUAUGACCUUUAGGCCUGGUGUAAUAUCUGCUGCGCUGUGGGGUUCACAUUCAUCUGAUGCCUAAAGUUGUUCAUUUUCAUUGAAAUCAGUUAGUAGAACGACAGUGAUUGUUUUCUGCUUAAGUUCGUGUGAAUGGAAGUCUAUUAUCAUCCUUCCAUUGCCAGUGACAAAUUUCCAUGUUCUUCCCAAUAUCAUAACUAGGAAAGUUGAUUGGAAGUAUAAUACUAAACAUUGUCUUCCUUUCCUAUCCGUUCCCCUACAAAAACUGGAGGAAGAUAGAAUUCCAAUUUUUUGUUGUCAGGUAUAUGAACCCUUUGUGCCAGAAGCCUAUAUCAGAGUAAUCAAGGACAUGUACAAUGGAGCUAAGUCUAGGGUUAG
rnacentral:lncRNA from 1 species